GUUAUUGUAGCUUACACAAAAGCAUGGCACUGAAAAUGCCAAGACGAAUAUCAAAACUAUCCCAAUAACA
rnacentral:tRNA from 1 species